rnacentral:pre_miRNA from 1 species
CCAAUACUCCCUCCGUCCGAGAAUACUUGUCAUCAAAAUGGAUAAAAAGAGAUGUAUCUAGAACUAAAAUACAUCUAGAUACAUCCCCUUUUAUCCAUUUUAAUGACAAGUAUUUCCGGACGGAGGGAGUACUAU